rnacentral:lncRNA from 12 species
GUUAUCUAGGUAAUUUGGUGGGGACAGGUGACUUGGGACCCUACUCUUCCGCGGUCUUGCCCCUCCUCCUCACUAUUUAAUUUUUAUCAGUUCCUGUGAAAUCAUUCAACAUCAGUUCAAUUAAGUUGUUGAUUUUGCAGUAAUGUUCAGUAUCAACCUCCUAUUGACAGACAUACCCAUGAAGAUUACCGGGAACUAAAAUGUUAAUGAAGAUUACAUCUUUAAAGUGAUUUGAAAAGCUCCCAGGUUACUUUACAUUAGCUUCCUGGGAUGGCUAAACUUUGAUAAAACCAGCAUAUACUACAUAUUGGUCCUCAAUUUUAAAAGUUCAGAAGAGGGGAUCCCUGGGUGGCGCUGCGGUUUGGCGCCUGCCUUUUGCCCAGGGCGCGAUUCUGGAGACCCGGGAUCGAAUCCCACAUCGGGCUCCCGGUGCAUGGAGCCUGCUUCUCCCUCUGCCUGUGUCUCUGCCUCUCUCUCUCUCUCUAUGUGACUAUCAUAAAUAAAUAAAAAUUAAAAAAAAAUUAUAAAAAAAAAUAAAAUAAAAAAAUAAAAGUUCAGAAGAUUAGGGAGACACCUGGGUGGCUCAGUGGUUGAGGGUCUGCCUUCCACUCAGGUUGUGAUCUCAGGGCUCCCAGAUCAAGUCCCACAUCGGGCUCCCUGCAUGGAGCCUGCUUCUCCCUCUGCCUAUGUCUCUGCUGCUCUCUCAAUCUGUCUCCCAUGAAUAAAUAAAUAAAAUCUUUUAAAAAAAAGUUCAGAAGAUUUCCUAAUAAAAUCAGCCUGUUCUGCGACUGGCUAGGACAUUUCCUAUGAAGACUGUACAAAUAGCUAACCUCAAUUUUUUUUUUUCUUACUCUUUUGUUAGGACCAGUUUAAGGCAGGAAGAUUAUUUAACUUCUCUAAAUCUUGGGAGUCCUCCAGAAGUGAAGCCCUGCGUCAAAUAGGAGUUACUGACAAGACGUGAAGGCUGUUCCAAUCUGAGACGAGGAACACUGGCUGGAAAAGCCCCAUUUCCAGAAUUCAGGAUCUUCAUUUCUCUAUCCUCGUUUUCCUACCUCUGCAACAGCCAAAGAAGACUACAGGAAGUCUGCAACACCU